AGUGAACGCUGGCGGUAGGCCUAACACAUGCAAGUCGAACGGCAGCACAGUAAGAGCUUGCUCUUACGGGUGGCGAGUGGCGGACGGGUGAGGAAUACAUCGGAAUCUACUUUUUCGUGGGGGAUAACGUAGGGAAACUUACGCUAAUACCGCAUACGACCUACGGGUGAAAGCAGGGGAUCUUCGGACCUUGCGCGAUUGAAUGAGCCGAUGUCGGAUUAGCUAGUUGGCGGGGUAAAGGCCCACCAAGGCGACGAUCCGUAGCUGGUCUGAGAGGAUGAUCAGCCAGACGGGAACUGAGACACGGGCCAGACCCCUACGGGAGGCAGCAGUGGGGAAUAUUGGGCAAUGGGGGCAAGCCUGAUCCAGCCAUACCGCGUGGGUGAAGAAGGCCUUCGGGUUGGAAAGCCCUUUUGUUGGGAAAGAAAAGCAGCAGGUUAAUACCCCGCUGUUCUGACGGUACCCAAAGAAUAAGCACCGGCUAACUUCGUG
rnacentral:rRNA from 1 species